CAGCCGUGGUUACUUUGUAAUUAUGCAAAGUGGAAGACGAAAGUUGAAAGCUUCCGAUCCCUUUGUUACUUCACACUGGAGUCUAGCCUCCCGCACCCGGGAAUCCGCUUCCACAAAGAAGAUGCAAUUCAGGAAAAAUCCUUAAUUCUUCUGCAGGUAGGUUUGUUUUUAUCUUUUCCCCUUCCACCUGCUAGGAGGAGGGAUAUUGGAAAGACUUGAAAGUUUCUAAACAAUAAGUCUAAAGUUACGGCUUUUGGUUAUGUUAGCUGCUUUCGUUUUUACUUCAGUGAAAGAGAUCGACCUCUGUUUUUUAAAUCUCUUUCCUUCCCCAAUCGAAGUUCCAAAUUCAAUCCUUUCCAGGAAGGAUAGUCCAGAUUUUUAUUUUGUUUCUUUCCUUAGAGAACUUGGUUGCUCACAAUCGCCGGACUCAGAGCUUCACGCUUUGAAGGAAGCAAGUUGAUUCCCUAGUGCCACCGUCUCCACC